rnacentral:rRNA from 1 species
AUUGAACGCUGGCGGCAUGCUUUACACAUGCAAGUCGAACGGCAGCGCGGGCUUCGGCCUGGCGGCGCGUGGCGAACGGGUGAGUGAUACAUCGGAACGUGCCCAGCAGGGGGGGAUAGCUCGGCGAAAGCCGGAUUAAUAACGCAUACGAGCUGCGGGUGAAAGAGGGGGGUCUUCGGACCUCGCGCGAUUGGAGCGGCCGAUGGCAGAUUAGCUAGUUGGUGGGGUAAAGGCCUACCAAGGCGACGAUCUGUAGCUGGUCUGAGAGGACGACCAGCCACACUGGGACUGAGACACGGCCCAGACUCCUACGGGAGGCAGCAGUGGGGAAUUUUGGACAAUGGGCGAAAGCCUGAUCCAGCAAUGCCGCGUGUGUGAUGAAGGCCUUCGGGUUGUAAAGCACUUUUGGCGGGAACGAAAAGGACUGUGCCAAUACCACGGUUCGAUGACGGUACCCGCAGAAUAAGCACCGGCUAACUACGUG